CACUAAUCUGAAAACAAAAGUGAAAACAGAAAGCCAUGGACUGGUACCGACCAGAGAGGUCUUGGAUUUAACGCGCAAUGCUGAGUCAACUGCUGAAAUUGAGAAUGGCUGGGACAGUGACAUGUCUGCUAUAUUGCUGCUCCUCCAUCUCCUACCACCAUCUGCACAGGGAAGGAAGAGGCCGGGGAAGGUGUCGGCAUGUCAGGCUGUGGAACACCUCAUCAGAUUCAUAAAAGCUGGAACCAGUGUACAGCAGCACCUGGAUAACAUCAGCCAAAGCAGCCAGCCCUACCUCCUCGCUCAGGGUCCUGCAAGAAGCAGCAUUCACACCUUCUUUAUUGUGAUUGACAAGUAUGCGCUUCCAUGUAAGGCAACAGGUUCAGUGGGAGCCCUAGACGAACUCUU